rnacentral:tRNA from 2 species
GCCGGGGUGGCCGAGCGGCCCAAGGCGCGGGCCUGGAGAGUCCGUCCCCGCAAGGGGGCGUGGGUUCAAAUCCCACCCCCGGCG